UUCUUUGGGGCCGGCUGAAGUGCCUGCCUGAUCUCAUCUGAUCUCGGAAGCUAAGCAGGGUCGGGCCUGGCUAGAGCUUCGAUGGGAGACGCCCAGGUUCUGAAUCAC
rnacentral:rRNA from 1 species